UACAGAGGGUGCGAGCGUUAAUCGGAAUUACUGGGCGUAAAGCGUGCGUAGACGGUUAUUUAAGUCGGGUGUGAAAGCCCCGGGCUCAACCUGGGAAUUGCAUUCGAGACUGAAUAGCUAGGGUACGGUAGAGGGAAGUGGAAUUCCUGGUGUAGCGGUGAAAUGCGCAGAUAUCAGGAGGAACACCCGUGGCGAAAGCGGCUCUCUGGGACGGUACUGACGCUGAGACGCGAAAGCGUGGGGAGCAAACAGG
rnacentral:rRNA from 1 species